rnacentral:misc_RNA from 1 species
GAUGAAGAACGUAGCAAAAUGCGAUAAGUAAUGUGAAUUGCAGAAUUCAGUGAAUCAUCGAAUCUUUGAACGCACAUUGCGCCCGCUGGUAUUCCGGCGGGCAUGCCUGUUCGAGCGUCAUUUCAACCCUCAAGCCCCCGGGUUUGGUGUUGGGGAUCGGCUCUGCCCUUCUGGGCGGUGCCGCCCCCGAAAUACAUUGGCGGUCUCGCUGCAGCCUCCAUUGCGUAGUAGCUAACACCUCGCAACUGGAACGCGGCGCGGCCAUGCCGUAAAACCCCAUCUUCUGAAUGUUGACCUCGGAUCAGGUAGGAAUACCCGCUGAACUUAAGCAUAUCAAUAAGCGGAGGA